CCUUUGGAGAACUAUACAAACAAAAGUAGUAAUUAUAUAUAUUAUGAAAUUGGGUUCAUUGAAUAAGGAA
rnacentral:ncRNA from 1 species